rnacentral:rRNA from 1 species
GUUAUAUGGUCAAGCGAAUAAGCGCACACGGUGGAUGCCUAGGCGGUCAGAGGCGAUGAAGGACGUGGUAGCCUGCGAAAAGUGUCGGGGAGCUGGCAACAAGCUUUGAUCCGGCAAUAUCCGAAUGGGGAAACCCACUGCUUCGGCAGUAUCCUGCAGUGAAUUCAUAGCUGCUGGAAGCGAACCCGGUGAACUGAAAUAUCUAAGUAACCGGAGGAAAAGAAAUCAACCGAGAUUCCCUAAGUAGUGACGAGCGAACGGGGAACAGCCCUUAAGCUGGAAUGGCUUUAGAAAAACAAUCUGGAAAGAUUGGCCAUAGAAGGUGAUAGCCCUGUAUUUAAAAGGGCCACUCCAGUGAAGACGAGUAGGGCGGGGCACGUGAAACCCUGUCUGAAUAUGGGGGGACCAUCCUCCAAGGCUAAAUACUCCUGACCGACCGAUAGUGAACCAGUACCGUGAGGGAAAGGCGAAAAGAACCCCGGAGAGGGGAGUGAAAUAGAUCCUGAAACCGUGUGCGUACAAGCAGUAGGAGCUCGCAAGAGUGACUGCGUACCUUUUGUAUAAUGGGUCAGCGACUUACUGUUCGUGGCAAGCUUAACCGUAUAGGGGAGGCGAAGGGAAACCGAGUCUGAUAAGGGCGCAUAGUCGCGGGCAGUAGACCCGAAACCGGGUGAUCUAGUCAUGGCCAGGGUGAAGGUGCCGUAACAGGUACUGGAGGCCCGAACCCACGUCUGUUGCAAAAGACGGGGAUGAGCUGUGAUUAGGAGUGAAAAGCUAAUCGAACCCGGAGAUAGCUGGUUCUCCUCGAAAGCUAUUUAGGUAGCGCCUCGGACGAAUACUACUGGGGGUAGAGCACUGUUAUGGCUAGGGGGUCAUCGCGACUUACCAAACCAUUGCAAACUCCGAAUACCAGUACGUACUAUCCGGGAGACACACGGCGGGUGCUAACGUCCGUCGUGAAAAGGGAAACAACCCAGACCCACAGCUAAGGUCCCAAAUUCACUGCUAAGUGGAAAACGAUGUGGAAAGGCAUAGACAGCCAGGAGGUUGGCUUAGAAGCAGCCACCCUUUAAAGAAAGCGUAAUAGCUCACUGGUCGAGUCGGUCUGCGCGGAAGAUUUAACGGGGCUAAGCAGUGAACCGAAGCUUGGGGUGCGUAAAACUUCGGUUUUAUGCGCGGUAGAGGAGCGUUCCGUAAGCCUGCGAAGGUGGAUUGAGAAGUCCGCUGGAGGUAUCGGAAGUGCGAAUGCUGACAUGAGUAACGAUAAUGCGGGUGAAAAGCCCGCACGCCGAAAGCCCAAGGUUUCCUUGCGCAACGUUAAUCGACGCAGGGUUAGUCGGUCCCUAAGGCGAGGGCGAAAGCCGUAGUCGAUGGGAAGCAGGUUAAUAUUCCUGCACCUCGCGUGAGUGCGAUGGAGGGACGGAGAAGGUUAGGUGUACCGGGCGUUGGUUGUCCCGGGGAAAGGCGGUAGGUUUGGAUCUUUGGCAAAUCCGGGAUCCUUUAAGACCGAGCACCGAGACGAGCCUUUAUGGCGAAGUCACUGAUACCACGCUUCCAGGAAAAGCUCCUAAGCUUCAGCUCACGAAGACCGUACCGUAAACCGACACAGGUGGGUAGGAUGAGAAUUCUCAGGCGCUUGAGAGAACUCGGGUGAAGGAACUAGGCAACAUGGCACCGUAACUUCGGGAGAAGGUGCACCCUUUUUGGUGGCUCAUGCGAGCUAUAGCUGAAGAGGGUCGCAGAAACCAGGCCGCUGCGACUGUUUAUCAAAAACACAGCACUCUGCAAACACGAAAGUGGACGUAUAGGGUGUGACGCCUGCCCGGUGCUGGAAGGUUAAUUGAUGGGGUCAGCCGCAAGGCGAAGCUCUUGAUCGAAGCCCCAGUAAACGGCGGCCGUAACUAUAACGGUCCUAAGGUAGCGAAAUUCCUUGUCGGGUAAGUUCCGACCUGCACGAAUGGCGUAACGACAGCGGCGCUGUCUCCACCCGAGACUCAGUGAAAUUGAAAUCGCUGUGAAGAUGCAGCGUUCCCGUGGCAAGACGGAAAGACCCCGUGAACCUUUACUAUAGCUUUACACUGAACGUUGAGUUCGUCUGUGUAGGAUAGGUGGGAGGCUAUGAAACUGUGGCGCUAGCUGCAGUGGAGCCAUCCUUGAAAUACCACCCUGUCGUGCUUGACGUUCUAACCUAGAUCCGUUAUCCGGAUCAGGGACCGUGUAUGGUGGGUAGUUUGACUGGGGCGGUCUCCUCCUAAAGAGUAACGGAGGAGCACGAAGGUACGCUCAGCGCGGUCGGACAUCGCGCACUGUGUGCAAAGGCAUAAGCGUGCUUGACUGCAAGAUCGACGGAUCAAGCAGGUACGAAAGUAGGUCUUAGUGAUCCGGUGGUUCUGUAUGGAAGGGCCAUCGCUCAACGGAUAAAAGGUACUCCGGGGAUAACAGGCUGAUACCGCCCAAGAGUUCAUAUCGACGGCGGUGUUUGGCACCUCGAUGUCGGCUCAUCACAUCCUGGGGCUGUAGUCGGUCCCAAGGGUAUGGCUGUUCGCCAUUUAAAGUGGUACGCGAGCUGGGUUCAGAACGUCGUGAGACAGUUCGGUCCCUAUCUGCCAUGGGCGUUGGAAGUUUGAGAGGGGCUGCUCCUAGUACGAGAGGACCGGAGUGGACGAACCUCUGGUGUUCCGGUUGUCACGCCAGUGGCAUUGCCGGGUAGCUAUGUUCGGAAGCGAUAACCGCUGAAAGCAUCUAAGCGGGAAGCGCGCCUCAAGAUGAGACUUCCCGGGGCACAAGCCCCCUAAAGGAACCAUAUAGACUAUGUGGUUGAUAGGUCAGGUGUGUAAGUACAGCAAUGUAUUGAGCUAACUGAUACUAAUGAUCCGUGCGACUUGACCAUAUAACCUCA